rnacentral:rRNA from 1 species
AAGCAGAGAUUAAACCUCGUACCUUUUGCAUCAUGACUUAGCUAGUACCCUCAAGCAAAGAGCACCUUUAGUUUGAUACCCCGAAACUAAUGUGAGCUACUCCAAGACAGCCUAUUUAUAGGGCAAACCCGUCUCUGUAGCAAAAGAGUGGGAAGAGCUUUGAGUAGAGGUGACAGACCUACCGAACUUAGUUAUAGCUGGUUGCCUGAGAACUGGAUACAAGUUCAGCCUCCCGGCUUCUCCAUUCAUUUACUUCUCAAAUGACUACUUCUAGAUGAAAAGAAACCCGCGAGAGUUAGUCAAAGGAGGUACAGCUCCUUUGAAUCAAGAUACAACUUUCCAAGGAGGGUAAAGAUCAUAAUCUUAAUAAGGCAAAAUGUUCUGGUGGGCCUAAGAGCAGCCAUCCCAAUUAGAAAGCGUUAAAGCUCGAACAUAUCUUCCGCCCCAUAUCCCGAUAACCCAAUCUUAACCCCCUAACUUUAUCAGGCUGUCCCAUGCAAACAUGGAAGCGACCAUGCUAAUAUGAGUAACAAGAGGGCCAACUUACGCCCCUCUCCUAGCACACGUGUACAUCGAAACGGACCUACCACCGAAACUUAACGGCCCCAAACAAAGAGGGAAAUGAAAAAUAAAUGAUAUACUAGAAAACCAUCCAAUACAUAACCGUUAACCCCACACCGGUGUGCCCGAAGGAAAGACUAAAAGAAAAAGAAGGAACUCGGCAAACAUAAGCCUCGCCUGUUUACCAAAAACAUCGCCUCUUGUAUAACCAUAAUAAACAAAUAAGAG